rnacentral:rRNA from 1 species
ACGAACGCUGGCGGCGUGCUUAACACCUGCAAGUCGAACGAAGAGCGAUGGAAGCUUGCUUCUAUCAAUCUUAGUGGCGAACGGGUGAGUAACGCGUAAUCAACCUGCCCUUCAGAGGGGGACAACAGUUGGAAACGACUGCUAAUACCGCAUACGAUCUAAUCUCGGCAUCGAGGAUAGAUGAAAGGUGGCCUCUACAUGUAAGCUAUCACUGAAGGAGGGGAUUGCGUCUGAUUAGCUAGUUGGAGGGGUAACGGCCCACCAAGGCGAUGAUCAGUAGCCGGUCUGAGAGGAUGAACGGCCACAUUGGGACUGAGACACGGCCCAGACUCCUACGGGAGGCAGCAGUGGGGAAUCUUCCGCAAUGGACGAAAGUCUGACGGAGCAACGCCGCGUGAGUGAUGACGGCCUUCGGGUUGUAAAGCUCUGUUAAUCGGGACGAAAGGCCUUCUUGCGAACAGUUAGAAGGAUUGACGGUACCGGAAUAGAAAGCCACGGCUAACUACGUG